GACGAACGCUGGCGGCGUGCUUAACACAUGCAAGUCGAACGGAAAGGCCCUGCUUUUGUGGGGUGCUCGAGUGGCGAACGGGUGAGUAACACGUGAGUAACCUGCCCUUGACUUUGGGAUAACUUCAGGAAACUGGGGCUAAUACCGGAUAGCAGCUCCUGCUGCAUGGUGGGGGUUGGAAAGUUUCGGCGGUUGGGGAUGGACUCGCGGGUUAUCAGCUUGUUGGUGGGGUAGUGGCUUACCAAGGCUGUGACGGGUAGCCGGCCUGAGAGGGUGACCGGCCACAUUGGGACUGAGAUACGGACCAGACUCCUACGGGAGGCAGCAGUGGGGAAUAUUGCACAAUGGGCGGAAGCCUGAUGCAGCAACGCCGCGUGCGGGAUGACGGCCUUCGGGUUGUAAACCGCUUUCGCCUGUGACGAAGCGUGAGUGACGGUAAUGAGUAAAGAAGCACCGGCUAACUACGUG
rnacentral:rRNA from 1 species